rnacentral:tRNA from 2 species
GCACUCUUAGCACAAUGGUUAGGGCAGCUGUCUUCGAAACAGUAGAUAUUGGUUCGAUUCCAGUAGAGUGUU